UGCGUAGGCGGAAUAUUAAGUCGGUGGUGAAAUCCCAGAGCUCAACUCUGGAACUGCCAUUGAAACUGGUAUUCUUGAAUAUAGUUGAGGUAGGCGGAAUGUGUAAUGUAGCGGUGAAAUGCUUAGAUAUUACACAGAACACCGAUUGCGAAGGCAGCUUACUAAACUAUGAUUGACGCUGAUGCACGAAAGCGUGGGGAGCGAACAGGAUUAGAUACCCUGGUAGUCC
rnacentral:rRNA from 1 species